rnacentral:rRNA from 1 species
GAUGAACGCUGGCGGCGUGCUUAACACAUGCAAGUCGAACGGUGAAGCAGAGCUUGCUCUGUGGAUCAGUGGCGAACGGGUGAGUAACACGUGAGCAAUCUGCCCCUGACUCUGGGAUAACAGUUGGAAACAGCUGCUAAUACCGGAUACGAGCUGCGAAGGCAUCUUCGGCAGCUGGAAAGAAUUUCGGUCAGGGAUGAGCUCGCGGCCUAUCAGCUUGUUGGUGAGGUAAUGGCUCACCAAGGCGUCGACGGGUAGUCGGCCUGAGAGGGUGACCGGCCACACUGGGACUGAGACACGGCCCAGACUCCUACGGGAGGCAGCAGUGGGGAAUAUUGCACAAUGGGCGCAAGCCUGAUGCAGCAACGCCGCGUGAGGGAUGACGGCCUUCGGGUUGUAAACCUCUUUUAGCAGGGAAGAAGCGAAAGUGACGGUACCUGCAGAAAAAGCACCGGCUAACUACGUGCCAGCCGCCGCAGUAAUAC